AGAGGAAGAAGGACUCAGAGGCCGGACGGACAGUCACGUGUGUUGUGGGCAGGGCCACUAGUACUCAGCUACCUGUGCCAUCUUUGUGAGGAAGCAGUCGAUGAAGUCCCGGGGAGAGUUGGGGUCCAGGGAAUCCUGGUGUUCACGGAUGCUGCGGGCAAUGAGAUCUUUCAUGCCUCCAAAGUUCCGGAACACGCGUCUGUGUGGCCCAGGAUCUUGAUGUACUGUGAAGACUGGCCUUGAACUCAUGAUCCUCUUGUCUCAACCUUCUGAGUGCUAAUGAAUUUUCAGAGAGAUGACCAUACCCAAGGGUCUUGGAGCUGUAGAAAACUGUGAUUUUGUUUGAACUUUGUAUUGCUGACAUGGAACUGAGGACUUGGGCACACUAGGCAAGUACUUUGCCCCCGAGCCACGCCCCCAGCCCCUUACUGGGGGAUUCUAGGCAGGGGCUCUACCAUUAAGCUAUGCCCCUAACCACCUCCUGUGGGAUUCUAGGAAGGUGUUCUACCUUCUUAAUUAUAAAUCCCAUAAGAAAUAAAAUGAUCAACUCCCUAAGGUAUUUAGUUUUAAUUAUGUGUGUGUUUGUUUGUAUCUUUCUGUCUGUGUACAUACAUGUGUAUGGAUGCCCUUGGAGGCCAGAGGGUGUUGGAUACUCUGAAGCUGGUUACAGGAAGUUGUGAACUACGAUGUGGGUUCUGGGAACUGAACCCAAGUCCUCUGCAGGAGCAAGAAGUGCUCUUAAUCACAGAGCCAUCUCUCUAGCCCACUUUCCCCUCACCCCCUCCCUGACAUUUUUUAUUUCUUUGAAACAAGGCCUCAUGUAACAUAGACUGGCUUCAAACUCACUAUUUAUCCAAGAAUGAUCUUGAAGUCAUUCAAGAUCUGGCCCUCCUGCCUCCACCUUCUGAAUUCUGGAAUUACAGCACCUCCAGCAGGAAGCUGCCUUCUUCCAGGAUCCGCUCCUCGAUGCUUCUUUUUCCCAUGCCAAAGUUCCGCAGGAUUUGGACAGAGAACCUUCGGAGGAUCUUCCAGCGCUCCCCACUGGAGAAGGCGAUGCCUGGGAAGAAGAAAAAGAAUGUCAAAUCCAACUGGCAACCAUCCCCAGACCACAGCCACUGAUUCAUCUCUCCCUGCUCCAUCAGGAGGGGGUUCAGUUUAGAACCCCCCUCAGUUCUUCCAGCAAAUCCUUCCCGACUCUUGGGAGUGGGCCUGCUUUGGGCUCUGCAGGACUCUGGACUUUCCGAAGAUCACGCUGCCUCCGUAUUCCCCUGUAACGACCUGUGACUUUGAAGUGUCAGAAAGGCAGACUAAAGACACAUUUUUUGUCAAAGUGACCUUUGAAUUGUCACCAGAUCUUGUUGAUUGUUUAUUGAUUAUUGAGUGCACAAAUAAAAGAGGUAAAUAAGAAAAAUAAAUAC
rnacentral:lncRNA from 1 species